GACGAACGCUGGCGGCGUGCUUAACACAUGCAAGUCGAACGCUGAAGCUCAGCUUUUGUUGGGUGGAUGAGUGGCGAACGGGUGAGUAACACGUGAGUAACCUGCCUCCUUCUUUGGGAUAACGCCCGGAAACGGGUGCUAAUACUGGAUAUUCACUGGUCUUCGCAUGGGGGUUGGUGGAAAGGGUUUUUCUGGUGGGGGAUGGGCUCGCGGCCUAUCAGCUUGUUGGUGGGGUGAUGGCCUACCAAGGCUUUGACGGGUAGCCGGCCUGAGAGGGUGACCGGUCACAGUGGGACUGAGAUACGGCCGAGACUCCUACGGGAGGCAGCAGUGGGGAAGAUUGCACAAUGGGCGCAAGCCUGAUGCAGCGACGCCGCGUGAGGGAUGGAGGCCUUCGGGUUGUGAACCUCUUUCGCUCAUGGUCAAGCCGCAACAAUGGUUGUGGUGAGGGUAGUGGGUAAAGAAGCGCCGGCUAACUACGUG
rnacentral:rRNA from 1 species